ensembl:lncRNA
AAAAAUGCUUUUAGGACAGGGAGGUAAAUCUACUGGUUAAUUGCUCAGUGCUUUGCAUUAUAACCUUGUUACAGCAACUGGGCUGGGCAGGUCUGUUACUCCUUUCUCCUGCCCGUUGGGACCAACACCCCCAGUAUGCUGCUGUGCCCCAACUACCAGAAGCCACAGAGCAAUAAUUAAUGGGUCACUAGGCAAAGCAAGUGAUACAGCUGAAACACAAGAAGAAAUCUUCCCUUUUCAAAGGUGAUUUCCUAGAUGGGGGUGAUUUCAGGGGCAGGAGUAUUGCUAAUUUCCAGCCACAGCUUGGAAAAUCUUGCUCUGAGUGCAGGUCCUCUGCCUGACAAAGAGAUCUGAGUAAAGGAAUCACCAGCAGUGAGCAAGGUGUGACAGAAUCUGGCGUAUUGGAGUAACUUGGAGACACUGGUGGUGUUGACACAUAAAAUGCUUUCAUAGCUUGACUGGUUUUUCUUUUUGAUGCAAAGUGGGGACUCAGAUCACAUCAGGCUUCAGCAGUCCUGAAGGACAUUAAUGGAGGGUUGUGCCUUGAUUUAAUUCCUUGGCCAGCCCCAUAGCAAAUGUUGGAUAGAAGAGUUGUUCCAGCAGUUGGUUUUGAUGCAGUGCAGCAGCACGCAUCCCAUGCAGGCUGCACAGCUGGCCCUUCUGCCUGCUGCUCCUUCAGAGCAGCCCCUCUGCUGAUGGGAGCCAGCACACACCUCUAAAUGAUCUUUAUGAGUCCUCUCCAACUCUAGGUGUUGUACGAUUCCAUGAUUCAACAGCCAGCACUCUCUGCAAAUACAUUCUAUUUUGCAAAUUCAGACUCGCUUCGAAGGCCUCAGCAAGCGUUGGAGGCGGGAGGCUGAUUGCUGGGGCUGAUUGCAGCAUCGAUGCCACUGAUUACAUGGCCUUAAUUACCAUGAUGAGAAAAAGACUAAAAAGUCACCGAGCCUUAAAACCCUUUGGGGAGAGUGGGCAUUGCUUUUGUGCUUGGACCAGCAUCUCUCCCUUCUCCAUGGAUGCUCCACAAGAUGUGUGGUGAAGGUUAGCUCAGAAAGAGUCUCUGUACCAAGGACUGUUUCUGGGAGGGAAAUGAAGGUGGAUUUCUAACAGACCAUUUAAACCCAAUACCAGCAGACCUGUCCUAGGAUUGCUGCACCUUUAGCAGACACCUCCUGUUCACCUGCCUGAACAGGUCGAUGAGAUUAUCACUUGUUUGGGUGUGGGGUUUUUUUGCACACCUGCACGGUAAAAGAUGAACUAAAGGCAAAUGAAUCCUCUUUAUCAUUGAAAUCAAAGUAAUGCUCUGACACACAGUCUGCCAACAGGCAGAUCUGCUUUUCAUGAGCUUACAAACAGUGGUGCAGCGUGGCAAGGUGAUCCUUGCUGUGGAAGCUGGUGUCUUGGUGGAAAGAGCACUGCAGGUCUCUGGUCUUAAAUAUGCUCUUUUAUACUCUGUGUACCUACUUUACUUAUUAAUUUUCUUAAUUAUAUACAUUAUUACACCUCAUAUUCUGUUGUAAUAGCAUUUACUCAUUUAUAUUUGCACUGUAUCUGCGUUAAUGUCCCUGU